rnacentral:rRNA from 1 species
GAUGAACGCUGGCGGCGUGCUUAACACAUGCAAGUCGAACGGGAAACCUUUUAUUGAAGCUUCGGCAGAUUUAGCUGGUUUCUAGUGGCGGACGGGUGAGUAACGCGUGGGUAACCUGCCUUAUACAGGGGGAUAACAACCAGAAAUGGUUGCUAAUACCGCAUAAGCGCACAGGACCGCAUGGUCCGGUGUGAAAAACUCCGGUGGUCUAAGAUGGACCCGCGUAGGUUUAGCUAGUUGGCAGGGUAACGGCCUACCAAGGCGACAAUCCAUAGCCGGCCUGUGAGGGUGAGCGGCGACAUUGAGACUGAGAAACGGCCCAGACUCCUCCGGGAGGGAGCAGUGGGGAAUAUUGCACAAUGGGGGAAACCCUGAUGCAGCGACGCCGCGUGAAGGAAGAAGUAAGGCAGUAUGUAAACUUCAAUCAGCAGGGCAGAUAGUGACGGUACCUGACUAAGAAGCCCCGGCUAACUACGUG